rnacentral:rRNA from 1 species
GACGAACGUUGGCGGCGUGCCUAAUACAUGCCAGUUGAGCGAUGAAGAUUGGUGCUUGCACCAAUUUGAAGAGCAGCGAACGGGUGAGUAACGCGUGGGGAAUCUGCCUUUGAGCGGGGGACAACAUUUGGAAACGAAUGCUAAUACCGCAUAACAACUUUAAACAUAAGUUUUAAGUUUGAAAGAUGCAAUUGCAUCACUCAAAGAUGAUCCCGCGUUGUAUUAGCUAGUUGGUGAGGUAAAGGCUCACCAAGGCGAUGAUACAUAGCCGACCUGAGAGGGUGAUCGGCCACAUUGGGACUGAGACACGGCCCAAACUCCUACGGGAGGCAGCAGUAGGGAAUCUUCGGCAAUGGACGAAAGUCUGACCGAGCAACGCCGCGUGAGUGAAGAAGGUUUUCGGAUCGUAAAACUCUGUUGGUAGAGAAGAACGUUGGUGAGAGCGGAAAGCUCAUCAAGUGACGGUAACUACCCAGAAAGGGACGGCUAACUACGUG